rnacentral:rRNA from 1 species
AGUGAACGCUGGCGGUAGGCCUAACACAUGCAAGUCGAACGGCAGCACAGUAAGAGCUUGCUCUUACGGGUGGCGAGUGGCGGACGGGUGAGGAAUACAUCGGAAUCUACUUUUUCGUGGGGGAUAACGUAGGGAAACUUACGCUAAUACCGCAUACGACCUACGGGUGAAAGCAGGGGAUCUUCGGACCUUGCGCGAUUGAAUGAGCCGAUGUCGGAUUAGCUAGUUGGCGGGGUAAAGGCCCACCAAGGCGACGAUCCGUAGCUGGUCUGAGAGGAUGAUCAGCCACACUGGAACUGAGACACGGUCCAGACUCCUACGGGAGGCAGCAGUGGGGAAUAUUGAACAAUGGGCGCAAGCCUGAUCCAGCCAUACCGCGUGGGUGAAGAAGGCCUUCGGGUUGUAAAGCCCUUUUGUUGGGAAAGAAAAGCAGCAGGUUAAUACGCCGCUGUUCUGACGGUACCCAAAGAAUAAGCACCGGCUAACUUCGUG